rnacentral:rRNA from 1 species
GACGAACGCUGGCGGCGUGCUUAACACAUGCAAGUCGAACGGAAAGGCCCUGCUUUUGUGGGGUGCUCGAGUGGCGAACGGGUGAGUAACACGUGAGUAACCUGCCCUUGACUUUGGGAUAACUUCAGGAAACUGGGGCUAAUACCGGAUAGGAGCUCCUGCUGCAUGGUGGGGGUUGGAAAGUUUCGGCGGUUGGGGAUGGACUCGCGGCUUAUCAGCUUGUUGGUGGGGUAGUGGCUUACCAAGGCUUUUACGGGUAGCCGGCCUGAGAGGGUGACCGGCCAACAUGGGACUGAGAUACGGCCCAGGCUCCUACGGGAGGCAGCAGUGGGGAAUAUUGGACAAUGGGCGGAAGCCUGAUGCAGCAACGCCGCGUGCGGGAUGACGGCCUUCGGGUUGUAAACCGCUUUCGCCUGUGACGAAGCGUGAGUGACGGUAAUGGGUAAAGAAGCACCGGCUAACUACGUG